rnacentral:rRNA from 1 species
UACGGAGGAUGCGAGCGUUAUCCGGAUUUAUUGGGUUUAAAGGGUGCGUAGGCGGGAUCUCAAGUCAGCGGUCAAAUCGUGGGGCCCAACCCCAUUCCGCCGUUGAAACUGGGAUUCUUGAGGGAUCGAGAGGUAUGCGGAAUGCGUGGUGUAGCGGUGAAAUGCAUAGAUAUCACGCAGAACCCCGAUUGCGAAGGCAGCAUACCGGCGGUCUACUGACGCUGAGGCACGAAAGCGUGGGUAUCGAACAGG